UAACUGAAAAGUGUGUCUUACAGGCAGUCUCAGAAACAAGAAGUUCUAGGAACCAAGCCUAGGACAAACGAACAAACUGGAGCAUUUUAGCAUUGAGGAAUUUAUUUAAUGCUUUUAAAAGGAGUUGUCGUGUGUGUCUGCAAAAAUGGGGAAAGUCAAGGGAGCAAAGGGAUAAGAAUAAAACUGGGCUAAAACAUACUUAUACUCCCAUGCAGAUACUGCUGUUGUGCUGCUUAAUGGUCCUGUUGUACUUAUAGUAUGGGUCAGAUAGUGUGAACUUGGCAUAGAAUGAUGAUGUUAAAACUUGCUAUUGAUUUUUACUCUAUUUGAUGUUAAAGUGUAAAACCAACUCAGAUUGCUUUUGUUUGGAAAAGCUAAAAAAUGCUAAUGUGUGUUGCUUUGUGUUGUCUUUUUAAAAAAACAGUCAAAAGCAUCCUUCAUGUUGGCACUAUGCAUGUAUUGGAAAAGAUUGUGUAUAUGAUACAAAUCCCCUUUAUUCCACUUUUAAAAAAUCUGUUCUCUCUCUCCAAAAGCUUUCCUCAAUUUACAGUGCUAAGGAUGGUGCCUCUACUUAUUUUCUUAAGUCACUUGCGUAUUGUUUAUAAGAGAUCCAGUGUGAAAUUGCUGCAAAGCAGGGAUGAUUAUACAGAGAGUAGUGCUGAAUUCACGGCCUGGGAAGAAUGGAGUGCCAGUGGCUGAAAACUUCCGACUAGAACAAAGUACAAUAGCGGAUACGGUCCAAGCAGGACAAGUGCGUGUUAAAACCCUCUAUCUCUCUGUGGACCCUUACAUGCGCUGCCGAAUGAAUGAGGACACUGGCUCCGAUUACCUCCAGCCCUGGCAGCUCUCUGAAGUUGCUGAUGGUGGCGGUGUUGGGGUUGUGGAGGAGAGCAAGCAUGAUAACUUCGCUGAAGGAGACUUUGUAACUUCCUUCACCUGGCCCUGGCAGACAGUGGCAAUUCUCGAUGGAAGCUUGCUACAAAAGCUCGUUCCACAGCUUGUAAAUGGACGCCUUUCCUACUUUCUCGGUGCAGCUGGGAUCACGGGACUGACGGCCCUGCUGGGUGUCAGGGAGAAGGGACACGUGGCUGUGGGUGCAAAUCAGACAAUGGUGGUGAGCGGAGCAGCCGGUGCUUGCGGCUCUUUGGCUGGCCAGAUUGGCCGUCUGGAGGGCUGCUCUAGAGUGGUGGGAAUCGCUGGCACAGAUGAAAAGUGCUCCAUUUUGGUCCAAGAAAUGGGGUUUGAUGCUGCUAUCAAUUACAAGAAGGGAAAUGUAGCAGAACAGCUACGUGAACUCUGCCCAGGCGGUGUGGAUGUUUACUUUGACAAUGUUGGUGGAGACAUCAGUGAUACGGUUAUAAGUCAGAUGAAUCAGAACAGCCAUAUCAUCCUGUGUGGACAGAUUUCUCAAUAUAACAAAGAUGUGCCUUAUCCUCCUCCACUGCCUCCUGACAUAGAAAAAAUACAGAAAGAAAGGAACAUCACAAGGGAAAGAUUCUUAGUGUUGAACUAUAUGGACAAACAUGAAGCUAGUAUAUUACAACUCUGCCAGUGGAUCCAAGAGGGUAAACUGAAGGUCAGAGAGACCAUGGUAGAAGGCUUAGCAAACAUUGGUGCUGCUUUCCAGUCCAUGAUGAGUGGAGGCAAUAUCGGAAAACAGAUCGUCGCAGUUUCUAAGUAAAAGUCACUGGUUUGAGAAAAAUAAUUGCACUCUGUCUCUAAUGGUAACAGACAGAGAAUCUCAAAACAGGCUGCCUAAUGACAGAGGUGAUGUUGCAGACACUUGAUUUUCUGUUCCCUCAGUAACUUCUCUUGGCUCUGAAUUUUUAGUCUAACAAUGCUCUUUUACCAUCUCAGUGGGGAAACUUGAAAAAUGAGCAGUCAGCUGAACUGUCCACAGAAUGGGUUACGCAUUGUCACUACCCAGGUCAAGCUAAGUGGAAUCCAAGGACUGGGAAAGAAACACUGCAAGAAAAUAAUUUUGUGUGCUGUGGAAAGUAAGGGUAUCAGAAAUGCCUAAUAUUGUUGUGAGCAAUAUGAAAAACAGUCCUUUCAUUUCCUAGUGCCUAAGCUGGCCCUGAAAGAAGGAAGCAUGCAGUGAUGGAUGCCAUAAACUUUGAGGAGAAGAGACCUGCAGUAUAGCAUUAGAUUGUCUAAAAUAAUAAUAAAUACCUGUAUAUUUCAGAAGAAAUUUCAACUAUGAACUGUGGUGAAUUUCUAUUGUAUGGAUGUAAGAAAACAAUCUUAACAAUAAGCGUUGUUAUGCAUUUUUCAACUACAAAACUAGAGGACUGGUUCACUUUCAGCUGGAUUGUGAAUCCAGUUUGUGUCCCUAAAAGUGAGAUCAUCACCCAGUAUGCAGUAAGCCAAUCUCACAUACAGAGCCAAGAUCUUUGUUUUUUCAUGUCUGUGCAGAGAUGAGUGCUGGGUGGCAAAUCCAGCAAGCCAGCACACCCUCACUCUGACAGGUGCUCAUUUUUAUACACUUGGAACAAUAACAAAAUUGUCAUUUCCUGUAUAGGCAACCACCUAAAGCUGUAGUCACUGACUUUGCUUUUCCUUGUCUCCAUUUAAAGAUACAGUGCACUGUUAUUUUACCUUGCAUGUUCUAUCAGGAAAAGGCUUAUGUGAAUAAGGGGUGAUCUUAGCCUGUGAGCAGGUAUUUUACUAUAUUAAUGAGCACGAAGUUCUGAUAAAGUUGUUCCUUGGCUUUGUAGUUUGAUUUAUACUGUUCUUACUUUUCCAGUCACGAUUCUUGGUUUCUGUAGGUUUGGUUAUUCCCUCGUUUUUCAUAAGUUCUUUUUCCUGUCCUGUAGUACAAUGAAUUUUUAACCUUCUCAUGGUACUUUUUUCAAGAACACUGGAAUAGAAGCCAAAAUUUUUAUACAGUAACUUCAGUAUGUUGUCAUAGUUGGCAAAUGAAAGACAGAAAGCAAGAGGUGAGCAAAAUUCUAUGAAUUCCUGCAUAUUGACUGUUUAUAGAUGAAUAACUCAGUUGUGAAAGUUAAGCAGUGCAGGCUUGUAUGACUUGGUAAUUGAUGUGUAUAUUAGAAUCAGAGGCAGCAAGAAAUGCAGUGAUCUUGAGCACUGUGUCUAGACUUGGAUUCCUGUCAACUGGAUUUAAUGAGGAGAGUGCUGCUGGGAAUACAGCCUUUCCAAACAGGGUCCCCACCUGCUUGGAAGGAAGUAUACAUAGGAUAGUAUUCAGAGCAAGCUAAUUAAAUACCUGUAUAUUUCAAAAGAGACUUCAGCUAUGAACUGUGAGAAUACUCUGAGUUGAGUUGCUUCAGGGACCUGUGUGUGAACAACUAUACCACUAGAUGUAACCCUAAAAUCUGAUGUUGGAAAAAGAAAAUGAAAACCAGACGCUCAAUGCCUUCUUUGCAAUCUAACACAGGAAGAAUGAAAUGUAAAGAUAGAUGUUGGUAAACAAUAUUCUUAUCCUUUCUACUGCUUAUUUUUAUAGCAAAAAAGUUAAUUUUACAAACAUCUUUACCUUACAAUUAUCAUCCUUACCAUUUCUUGAGUUGCUAGAUGGCCUUGUAGAGGCAUGACAGACCACAGAACCUGUGCACCACAUGCUUCAGUCAUUUAACUAAAUGAACUCAGAUGCUGAAUCUUAAAAAUAUUACUCAGCUAUUGCUGUUAAAGUUAAGCAAAAGUAACACUUUACAUAGGAGGUAAAAUUUCUCUCCUACUUGUUUGAAUUCCAAUAUUAAAUCAACCACUUAAUGUCCAGAGAGUGUCCCAAUACCAGUAAGGUCUCAAAAUCUAAUUUUUCUAAAUAAAUGUCCCACAUUCAUAAUAAUUUAAAAAUGUAAACACUCUUUUAGACAAACAUACAUAUUCAAAACAAUUUUUCUAUAUAGAAACAAAUCAAAAUUCCAAACAAACCACUACAGAAGUAAAAUAGCCAGCAAAAUGGAAUGUCAAGACCUAUACAAUACCGUGUUUAAAAUCCCAAAGAAAUUAUAGGGUCUCUUAGGGCCUGGGCUGAGUGUGGCAUCCACGCAGAUGAAUGAAUAGUUCCCAAAGGAGGUAGUGUGGAUGUAAUGGAAAGAGCCAUCUUUACGCCAGGCAGAGUAUUUCCUAACAAAAUAAAGUGGAAAUAUUGCUGUUAGGAAAGCCUGUAGCAAUGACAACAGUGACCUGCAUAGUAUAAACGCAAGAUGCCUUGCAACCAUUAGAUCUAGCUCCUUCUUGUUACUGCAGUAGGCUCUUAAAAGUCAAUGGCAUUGAAAAAUCUGUACUUCAAAGAAGAUGCAUUACAUGGGUUAUGUGUUAAGACAAGCAGCAAGUUAGCACACAAACAUUUAAAAAAACGUUAGCACAAAUAUGCUUUCCCUGAGCAACACAGUACUUUUUUAUGGAUAAAGGAUAGGCCAGCAGUGUACAACAAACAGGUGAGAUGACAGAACAGCAGGAUCUUACACAAUUCUUAAUUAAAGGAGAACUACAAAUUAAAAAUAAAAAUUGUCCUGUGUUUAUCAUGGUAUCCAAAAGAAUUUUUCCUUGCUCACCUAGAGCAUAUCAGGGACAUCAAGUCUUGUCUCCAUUAUUUUGUUAGAUUUCUCUUAAGUUACUCUCAUGUAGAAUAAUCAGCUCUUGGCUAAUGGAAUAUGAUAUUGAAGCAAAGAAAUGUUGAACUUUUUCAGUUGUUUUCCAAAAGAUGGAAAACAGAGACACUACAUUAAAUCUUAUAAAUAGUAAAGAAGGCAGCAUUUCUCUUUGCUGCUUCUUUUUUAUUUCUUGAUGUAGAAAAUCUUACCAGUUCUCUUGGUAAUGUCAUUAUCAGGUCAGUGGAAUGUCAUCAGAGUUCUUUGUUCAAAGAGUAAGAGGAGAGCAGAAAAAGGGUUGCUAUUCUUUUGCACGUUACUGAAUAUUAAUUGAACUCUUGAAUCUUAAUCUUCAAAUACUCUAAGAAAGAACUGUGAAUAGGGGAGGACUUAAAAGAUGUCAACUAAUUCCACCUUGUUUUUUUCUCCUGUGCUUUUAUCCUAAUAUUGGUUACAAUAAAUACAUAUAAUAAUGUA